UUAUUGUACUUCAAUAUAUUUCAAUAAAGGUGUUUAAAAAUUACGUGAUUUCUCUUUCAUUUACUUUUAGGAUCAACUCACCAUUCUCAUGGUUUUGUAAAGCUUCCUGCCAAAAAAUCAACCUCAUCACCUCCUCGGCAUGACGUACAGAGUAACACACCAGAACAAAAGAAAGAUAAAGAAAUGACUAAAACAUCACACCCUUUACAUUAUGGAGGAAUUAAAAGUACCUCAUCUCAAGCUCCAGAUGGUGCUGAUAAAACAAAAGAUGUCCCCAGACACUCUCCACAGGAUAUUCUGCAACAAGAGGCAAGUAACAUUUCUUUUGUCCCAGAUACAGACAGAACAAAUGAAGUAUGAAAUUAUUGUCAAGAUUGGUAUAACACAGUUUCCUUCAUUAAAUGACAAUACAGAACAGCCUUAUUCCCUGAAAUUAACCACCCUGUAG
rnacentral:lncRNA from 1 species